CACGAAAGACAGGAGUGGGAAACAGGAAGGAGAAGGAGGAGGAGGAGAAGAAGACAAGAGAGGGUGUUUCGGUUGGCUUUGCGGUUUCUUCGUUUUCUCGAUCGCCUUCAUUGUUCAUGUCCUUUCACUUCAACAGCUUUUUUCCGUUCGUGCGUGUGCUCUUUUCCCACGUAAUUCGUACCAAUUCAUCAGACAUUCCCUUCUCUGCCAUCCAUCUUCUUCACCGCCCACAAACCAUAACCACCAUCAACAAAAAGCUACAUCUCUCUCUCUCUCUCUCGCUCUCUCUCUCUCUCUCUCCUCACGCCAUCUAUGAUCGCUUAACGUUCUACUACAGUUGUCUCUCUGCUUUCAGUAUGAUUGCUUCACAAAGUUCCUUUUAAUUUCCACUCUUCCUCUUUCUUCUAUUCCGAUCGUUGCCUUCUCUUUUUAGGACAUACAUCUGUCUCUUCCUGCGAUUCAUGCCUCGUUGCUUCUUGAUCCCUGCUAUUUCACCCUUUAUCAGCAUACCCUUUUGCCCAUUCCUCCAAAUUCCCUCUUUUUUUUCUCAUUAUAUGACAAUAAUAUUCUGUAAUCUGCAUUCUCUUGGCCAUAUCAACACUUGAUUUUGUCAAAGUUAUCAUCUUUCUUGUUGUGUCUUCGUUGGGUGGUGGUUGUUUUGUGUGUGUGUGCGCGCGCGCCUUUUUCUUUCUUUUUCUUUCAAUUCAUGGAUUAUCAACGGAGUUCAAGUUCUGGAUUUCAAUUCGCGAAUCCUGCUUUUGGAGACACCACGUACACCAAGGUGUUUGUUGGGGGUUUGGCUUGGGAGACGCAGAGCGAGACACUGAGGCGACAUUUCGAGCAGUUCGGUCCAAUUCUCGAGGCAGUUGUGAUCACUGAUAAGACCACAGGACGAUCAAAAGGAUACGGUUUUGUAACUUUCCAGGAGGCUGAGGCUGCUAGGAGAGCCUGUGCAGAUCCCACUCCAAUAAUUGAUGGCAGGCGGGCAAAUUGCAAUUUGGCUUCAAUUGGACGAGCCCGCCCGCCUCCUUCCUUUGGAAACCAGAGAUCAGCUCCACUGUAUGGAGGAGGCAUGCAAACCUACCAGGGAGCUUAUACGGAGAAUUUUGGCUACCAGCAACCCGUUUACUACAGCUACCAACAUGGAUAUACUUAUCCUGCUCAUAGAUAUUCAGCACAUGGCCCUGAGUAUGUCUACACACAGGGUGUCUAUAGUCCAUAUAUGGGUCAGCAAUACCUCCAGAUGUACGGAGUGCAAGCGGCUAUUUAUCCCUACAGCCAGGUGGGUCAGAACAUUUCCAGUAGUCGUGGGUUCAUUACUGCCCCGCAGUACUCAGUGCCAAGCCAUCAGAUCAUGCAGCUCGGUGGCCCCACUGCUGAUGCCAUGACAACCCCACAAAUACCCACAAUACACACAUUGUAUCAUAGCGGCGUAGCUACAGCUCUUGCAGCACGACCACAAAUAAUCAUUCCCAGUGCACCUCCUAAAUUUAUUCAGAGUAGCAGUUCCGACGGUACAUCUGGGUGAGGAAGAAAAGACCCGGGUGUGCUUUUCCUUUCCCCCAGUUUUCUUCAGGGUGCGGGGACUAAGAGCAGUCAAGUUGCUACAUCAGUGGCGGGCUUCUGCCUUAUGCCUUCCAAAGUCUAUAAUUUCAUGUUCUCUAGGUCGUCAUACUUAGUCCUCAUGCGGGAGUCAAAUGUCGGAACUGCUCCUGAUUUUGGAGCAGCAUGGGAGACCGUAGUGGCUCUUCCUCGUUUUUGCAGAUCCCAAACUCUUUGCUCGUGCUGGGUAUCUGUCGCGAGCAUUCAUAUUCAUUUUGGUGGGUUGUCCGUGGUCACUGGAGGUGGUUUUCUGGUAGCCAUGGAAUCUACUUGUUGGAAUCAAGAUAUGGUUCUUUGUCCUGGGACGGUCACUGCAUUUGGUGUGUACAUGGUACAUUGUAUAUACAUUUUUCUGAGUAGGGUGCAUAUUAGAACUAGGAGUUCCAAUUGGAGAUAUGAACUUUUGUAAUCAGAUGAACCUCUGAGAAACAUAAGAUGCACAAUUUCCCCCCCUUUUUUUAUUUUAGGAAUAAUGACACUACAAGUAUAUGAAUUUUUGUCAAGUACUACAAUUUAAAUUUGUCUUGACGUAAGGCUCCUAUUUAUUAAA